GAUGAAGAACGCAGCUAAAUGCGAUAAGUAAUGUGAAUUGCAGAAUUCAGUGAAUCAUCGAAUCUUUGAACGCACAUUGCGCCCGCGAGUAUUCUCGCGGGCAUGCCUGUCCGAGCGUCAUUUCAACCCUCAGGGCCCGCCUGCUUGCAGGCGCGGCGCUGGUGUUGGGGAUCGGCUACCCUGCCGUCCCCCAAAUACAGUGGCGGUCUCGCUGCAGCCUCCCCUGCGUAGUAGCAACACUCGCAUGCGGAGCGCGGCGCGGCCACGCCGUAAAACCCCCGACUUUCUGAACGUUGACCUCGGAUCAGGUAGGAAUACCCGCUGAACUUAAGCAUAUCAAUAAGCGGAGGA
rnacentral:misc_RNA from 1 species